AUGAGAAGGUUACAUUCACUGAAGAUUAGCUUUUUCUUCCUCCUCCCUCCCUGUUUCCAGAACAGAAGUUCAAGGGAUUUAUAUCACCCUCACCUCAUAAGGAACUCCAGUGGUCUGGAUGUAUCCGUGUCUCAUACCCGGGAAACACAGCGCCUCCACACGGACACCAUCCUUUCCACUUCUGAGCCCGAGGAGAAUAGAAGGGACUCCUGGCGCCCCUGGAAUAGGUGCAGCCCGACCUGCAGGAAACCCGUCUGCGGAGUCCUGAGCACGUCACCGGGAACCGUGGCCGCCUGGGGGACGACCGUGAAGGCAGCGGGACGACCGUUCCCCCAAGGAGGCAAGGAAGCGUUCCGGCGCACUUCGGGGAGGAGGACGGGCGGCCCGUGGUCCCUUGCGGUGCCUCCGGUUCUGGACACCAGGGCCGGCCCUCUCCGGGGAGAGGACACACGUUUGUGAAUCGGGACUAUCGGGGUCCAUGGGGGAGGCUGGGAAGACUGGACAUGUCUGCGUGCGUCCGUGUGGUCCGCACCUCCGGGCGCGUGGGAAACAUGGAGAAGGUGUAACCCCGCGGACGCCGGCGCCGUGACCUUUCCUGCUCGCGCUCAGCUGCCCGGCGGUGCCCGCGGGCAGAAGGGGCCCCGCGGCGCGCUGGUCCACCCGGCCGGGCAGCGACACCGACCGCCGCCGCCCGCCCAGGCCGCGGACCUGCAGCCCGAAUCUCCGGAGACAGCAGGCUCUUCCCGGGUCUCACGGCACCGGGAGCGUUGCCGCUGUCACCCCCGGCCUCUGGAGCUCUGCCCCGGGCUCGGCGGCCGAACCUUCGCGGGAGUCGCCAACGUUCCCCAGGAAGGGACCGGCUCACGGCGGCCGCUGGGUGGCUCCCGACGGGCGGCGCACACGGCCCCGGGCGGACCCCGACCGCCGGGCCGCCCUGACGCCCCGCUUGUCCCGCGCGUCCGCCUGGGAGCCGGCUCCCGGCCCGGCAGGGCGCGGAGACCCAGACACCAGACGGGAGGGCGGGAGCUGGGAAGACCUCCCCGGGCAGCUGCGGGAGAAGGCGCGCUCCUCAGCGAUUCCCGAGGCUGGGCCCCAGGCGGCCCAGAGGGCAGGCCCUGCUCCCGGGCGGACUUAGGAAUUUAGUGAGACUUAGACUGUGUGGACUGUAAAACUGAAACCAUGAAAGGACUGGGUAAAAUCAUGUAUGAAUGAUUUUUAUUCUGUGGAAUAGAAAGAGUGGAAUCAUGACACAACAUUUGUUUUAAAACAGUCUCUUCAGAAGCCAUCAAAGAAAUGAAUGAUAAACAGCCAUAGAUCACCUUUUCAUAUUCCACACGGAAGGUCCAAGAUAACAACUCAGCGUGGGAGGAACAUUUGUGCAAAUACUUGUGUACUAAGAUUGUUGAUAUUAGUAUCACUCAGUAUAAAAACAGAACAUUCAGGAAACAGCCAUUAAGACGGAUCUGGGAAGGAAAUUUGUAUCGGUACUGACUUGGAAAGAUCUGUAUGAUGAAUUGUUGGAUAAAAUAGCCAAGUUAUAGGAUUUCCACUGGUGCUAAAAGAAAAAAAUAUAUAUACAUUUGUACAUUUAUCUUUUAAACGAACUGAGAUGGAAAGGCAAAUGAAUUAGAACAGCUAAAGCAGCUUUAUAAAAAGAAUACAAUCUUUCGCAUAGCUUGGCACCUGGUGCCAGAAAGAAGUGUCUUCAGAAACCAAGAUGAGCCACACCGCCUGCUUUUCUGCCUCCUCCUCCUGUGGCCUCCAGGCAGGCAGCUGGCAUCCUAGCCCCUUAAAGUCACUGCUCCACUCAGACAGACGCAGAUCCAAGGAGGGGUUGGUAUGACCUUGGCUCUGCAGACUUGGGCUCCUCAGCCUCUUGCCUCAUCCUGGGAGCCCCCAGCCAGUCAGUCAUCACCCCAGUCUUCCCCACCAGAGGCGACUGGCCCCACUCUGCAGGGGGCAGCCCUUGUCUCUAUGAGCUCUGAGCUGUUUUCCCAAAGGAAGGAUUUUCCCUUUGCACCGCAGGUAUGAAGCAAGGGGAUAACUGACUUUUUGCACCUGGACCCAUCGUACACUUUGUCCUCACAUCUGGCCCUAAUUAUCCCCAUGAGGGUAGAAGAAGGCCGUUCCCUUUACAUAGGAGGUGUGAGUCAAUGGGACGCCUGAGCUUUCACAUCUGGACCUUUCAUGCACAUUUGGUAUGCACUCAGCUCCUGAAGACACAAGACAGAGACAGGGUUAGGCCUCUUAGCGUGGUGUGGCCAUUGCUUCCAUAAAAUAUCCAGGGUCUCUAAGCAGCACCAGGGAGGCAAGAAUAAAGAAGCAUGCAAUCAUUCA
rnacentral:lncRNA from 1 species